rnacentral:rRNA from 1 species
AUUGAACACUGGCGGCAGGCUUAACACAUGCAAGUCGAGCGGGGUGAUGGUGCUUGCACUAUCACUUAGCGGCGGACGGGUGAGUAAUGCUUAGGAAUCUGCCUAUUAGUGGGGGACAACAUCUCGAAAGGGAUGCUAAUACCGCAUACGUCCUACGGGAGAAAGCAGGGGAUCACUUGUGACCUUGCGCUAAUAGAUGAGCCUAAGUCGGAUUAGCUAGUUGGUGGGGUAAAGGCCUACCAAGGCGACGAUCUGUAGCGGGUCUGAGAGGAUGAUCCGCCACACUGGGACUGAGACACGGCCCAGACUCCUACGGGAGGCAGCAGUGGGGAAUAUUGGACAAUGGGGGGAACCCUGAUCCGGCCAUGCCGCGUGUGUGAAGAAGGCCUUAUGGUUGUAAAGCACUUUAAGCGAGGAGGAGGCUCUUUUGGUUAAUACCCAAGAUGAGUGGACGUUACUCGCGGAAUAAGCACCGGCUAACUCUGUGCCAGCAGCCGCCGUAA